UUCAGAUGGCAGUGCAGGUUGAGGUGACACCUUUUCCGAGGGGAACUUUAAGGGGCGACUCUUCAAGAUCACCAGUCCCUCUCGCAAACUUUCACAUGCAACAAAAUGCGAGUGGCUUGCAGCAAUUUAACAGAGCUCUCCGACACACAAAAAGGCACGCUCAUUCAGGACACUGAGCUGUAUAGUUUUACUGCACAGUUCUUCUUUCAGUAACAUUUGCUUUCAGUCAUUAAUAUACAAGAAGAUCUGGCAAGCAACCACCCUGUGUUUCAAUGAAUGAUUUAGGCUGGCACAGAGACUGAAAUGUCUCCCCACAUACGCAGGACACCGGCUGGACUGAACAGUAAUCAAGAUUAAGUAAAUGUUUUGUGUUUUUUUUAAAUAUUUAUUAAUGACAUUUUGCUUUUCUACUCCUACGUUCAUAUUUGACGUUUGAAAGAUCUUUGAGUUGGCGGCAGACUGUUAGAGAAAGCGGGGGUAAUUUGGGGGUUCAGGCAGAAAGGGAUUAACCUAAAUAAUGUAUCAGCAAAAGGAACUAUAUUAAAGGGCAAAUUUUUAAGGGUGCGUAAUUAGCCAUUGAAACAAUUGACCCAGGUGGAGGAGUCUCUGUCAUUUGAAAUCUGUAAAUCAAGACUGGAUGCUUUUCUGAAAGAGAUUCUCUAACUCAGCCAGAGAUUGUGAUCUAGAUGGAGAAAUUAGGAAGUGAAAUUCUAUUGCUUGUGUUACAGACGAGGUCACACGAGGGUCCCUUUGGACUUUUAAAUCUAUGACUCUAGAUACAAUAGCUCUGGUUAGGUAAACAAAGAGCCCGGCCUUCAGAUUCGGUAAAUCACUUCAGCUCUGUAAUUUACAUACGCUAUUUACCAACCUCCACUAAAUAUUCUGACAGUUGAAGUCACUAGAAUGAAUUAUUGGAUAAUCACAGAAAGACAAAUGAAAGUGAGAGCUAGCGAUGGUCUUUGUUAUGCUUCACUGCUUUUUCUAGGCCAAAAGCGGAGAUGUUCCCUUGCUUAGCUCUUUUCUUUCUUUUAGUGUCUGAGUGAUGCCAUACGGUUUGGAUUUAAGGGGCAUUUUUAUUAGCUGCAUUUUUUUUGUUAGGAGGGGCCUUCACGUGAAGAAUAGUAAAUGUGUCUCAUCCGUCUCACAACUCUAAAACGGAGCUACGGCAGUUAAUACGUAUGCUGCUAUUUAUAAUAGGUGCGUGGCUAUUUUAGUCCGAGAGAUCGGGCUGGCUUACUAGAGGCUGGCUGAAAAAUGAUUUGUUUAAAGCCUACAGAUAAGUUGCCCAAACGUUGUAGCCGUAGGGAGUGCGCUUUCUGCGCUGAGCUACGGACUGCUUUGAAUCUGGUGUGCUAAGCAGUUGAGUCUACUGAAUUGUGUUUCAUGGGGAGAAACCGACACCCUUUGGGGGCCAAUCCAGCAUGAUUUAUUCACGCAAGACUGUCAUUAGGACAGCUGGGGUUUUGUCUGAGUCAUCUACGCAAUCGAUACACCCUUCUUAGGGUUCCAUAGUGGGAUCCAAACCUGGUUCCAAUUGGUUGUAUAACAGGCACCUUACUGUGGUGUGUAACCUGGCUGCUGUGUUGGUUUUAACAAUGGCUUCUGCCUCCAUCAGCUGCCUUUUGCAAACUCGGUUUACCCCUCUUCUAUCCCCUCAGCCUUUCGCCUUUAUCACGCCUUCCUUCUUUGCCUCUCUUUAGUCACUGGUUUUGCUCCAUCCUUUUCUUUCUCAUUCCUUCUUCCUGGCUUCUCCAGGCCAAGCCCCGGCUUCUUUCUGAAUGCUCUGAAUGCUUGUUCCACGGCUUUUCCUCCCUUUCCAGUCUUUGGGGGUGGUCUCUGUAAAAUGGGACCCAGGAAAUGCUGAAACAUCGCUCUGAUGAGCAGGUGAAAGAGCCUAAUAGGCUGCACUUCUGGCUCCCUUAGCGGUUUUAAGCUGAUUGCUCUUCACCCAGCAGACUAGCAGUCACAGCGGCUUUACGAGGGGCAGGAGAGGCUGGACUGUGACUUUGACAGGAGCUGCUCCGAAGAACGGAAUCGGGCUCCAUGCCAGUACUGUUUGGAAAGUCUCAGUGAAUCACCAGAUCAGCUUGCCUGUGAAGCUGUUAAACGUACACUAUUGCUCGCUUAACUACUGUAUUGUGGUGGUCUUAACUGCUUGUCGCGUGGAGCCCAUCGCCCUGGAAGAGUGUGAAAGCAGAAAUGCCAGUUCUGUUUUGGACACAGUAAAGCCAGA
ensembl:lncRNA